AUUGAACGCUGGCGGCAUGCUUUACACAUGCAAGUCGAACGGCAGCGCGGGCUUCGGCCUGGCGGCGAGUGGCGAACGGGUGAGUAAUGCAUCGGAACGUGCCCAGUAGUGGGGGAUAGCCCGGCGAAAGCCGGGUUAAUACCGCAUACGACCUGAGGGUGAAAGCGGGGGACCGAAAGGCCUCGCGCUAUUGGAGCGGCCGAUGUCGGAUUAGCUAGUUGGUGGGGUAAAGGCUUACCAAGGCGACGAUCCGUAGCUGGUCUGAGAGGACGACCAGCCACACUGGGACUGAGACACGGCCCAGACUCCUACGGGAGGCAGCAGUGGGGAAUUUUGGACAAUGGGGGCAACCCUGAUCCAGCCAUGCCGCGUGCGGGAAGAAGGCCUUCGGGUUGUAAACCGCUUUUGUUAGGGAAGAAAUCCUCUGGGCUAAUACCCCGGGGGGAUGACGGUACCGGAAGAAUAAGCACCGGCUAACUACGU
rnacentral:rRNA from 1 species